UAGGAAAUCUUCGGCAAUGGACGAAAGGUCUGACCGAGCAACGCCGCGUGAGUGAAGAAGGUUUUCGGAUCGUAAAACUCUGUUGGUAGAGAAGAACGUUGGUGAGAGUGGAAAGCUCAUCAAGUGACGGUAACUACCCAGAAAGGGACGGCUAACUACGUGCCAG
rnacentral:rRNA from 1 species